UAAUACGGAGGUGGCGAGCGUUGUUCGGAAUUACUGGGCGUAAAGGGCGCGUAGGCGGGGGGAGAAGUCGGGUGUGAAAGCCCUCGGCUCAACCGAGGAACGGCGCUCGAGACUCUCUCUCUUGAGUCCCGGAGAGGCGGGUGGAAUUCCUGGUGUAGCGGUGAAAUGUGUAGAGAUCAGGAGGAACACCGGUGGCGUAAGCGGCCCGCUGGACGGAGACUGACGCUGAGGCGCGAAAGCGUGGGGAGCAAACGGGAUUAGAUACCCCGGUAGUCCACGCGGUAAACGAUGGGGGCUAGGUGUGGGGGGUAUCGACCCCCUCCGUGCCGAAGCUAACGCAUUAAGCCCCCCGCCUGGGGAGUACGGCCGCAAGGUUGAAACUUAAAUGAAUUGACGG
rnacentral:rRNA from 1 species